rnacentral:rRNA from 1 species
CAAACCAAAGCUGGCGACCGGCGCACGGGUGAGUAACACGUAUCCAACCUGCCUCAUACUCGGGGAUAGCCUUUCGAAAGAAAGAUUAAUAUCCGAUAGCAUGUAUUUCCCGCAUGGGUUUUAUAUUAAAGAAAUUCGGUAUGAGAUGGGGAUGCGUUCCAUUAGUUUGUUGGGGGGUAACGGCCCACCAAGACUACGAUGGAUAGGGGUUCUGAGAGGAAGGUCCCCCACAUUGGAACUGAGACACGGUCCAA